rnacentral:rRNA from 1 species
AUUGAACGCUGGCGGCAGGCCUAACACAUGCAAGUAGAACGAGUGGCGGACGGGUGAGUAAUGUCUGGGAAACUGCCCGAUGGAGGGGGAUAACUACUGGAAACGGUAGCUAAUACCGCAUACCAUCGGAUGUGCCCAGAGGGGAUUAGCUCGUAGGUGGGGUAACGGCUCACCUAGGCGACGAUCCCUAGCUGGUCUGAGAGGAUGACCAGCAAAACUGGAACUGAGACACGGUCCAGACUCCUACGGGAGGGAGGAGUGGGGAAUAUUGCACAAUGGGCGCAAGCCUGAUGCAGCCAUGCGGCGUGUAUGAAGAAGGCCUUCGGGUUGUAAAGUACUUUCAGCGAGGAGGCGUUACUCGAAGAAGAAGCACCGGCUAAGUCCGUGCCAGCAGCCGCGGUAAUUC